AAAUUAUAAAGACAUGAAGUGUGAACUUUAACAUCUACUGCUCGGCUAUGUUCUAUUCCUGAAUGAAUCUUUCCAGUCAGAUCUUUUCAAUGAAUCAGUCGAACUAUUUGACAAAACUGAGCUGAAUGAUUUGAUCAUAAAUUCAACUGAUUGAUGAUAGCACACUAGGCCUAUAUCUGCAAGAUGUCUGUUAAAGAUCACUUAAUCUGGAAGCAUCUGAUGUGUCAGUUUUGCUAACAUUCUAAAUCAUAAACAUCUUAAAGACAUUUUCGAAAUGUCUAUUUGAUUGGAAACGUCCUAUUGAUAUAUUGGAUACAGCGCUUAGCUUGUUAUUCAAAGACUGAUGUUAUUCAACAGAUGAAACAUGCAAUUUCUAAAGUUUCUAAUGUUUAUUUCCCCUAAUCUUUCCAGAAGCAAAAACCUAUUUGAAUAAAUAUUCAAGUCAUACACCCAAUGGAAGACAUUGUGCCCCCAUUAGUGUUUUUCGCAGUGGCCGUUUCUGUGUUGAUCAUCUUCUACUGCGUGGCCAAAAGAUUAAUAAGACAUGCGCAGCAUGUGCAGUCAAAUACUACAGUCACGACUACACAACACCCACAAUACUCAUAUCAACAGCCUUUGGCUAAUCACAUACAGCCAGCGUAUGGGGCACAUCCCAUUCUGACUGGACCAUAUCAGCAAACUUAUGUCCCGGGACCACCACCCACAUAUCAGGAGGCGGCAGGUCUGUUUCCUGCUCCCUUCAGCCAGGCUGCAUAUGACGGUGGUCAGAUCAUGUACCCUCCACAAGCACCGGUUCAACCAGCGCUUCCCACAAACUACACUUCGACUCAUGUGGAAUCGCCAAAGACCAGUUAG
rnacentral:lncRNA from 1 species